rnacentral:rRNA from 1 species
AUUGAACGCUGGCGGCAUGCUUUACACAUGCAAGUCGAACGGUAACAGGCCGCAAGGUGCUGACGAGUGGCGAACGGGUGAGUAAUGCAUCGGAACGUGCCCAGUCGUGGGGGAUAACGCAGCGAAAGCUGUGCUAAUACCGCAUACGAUCUAUGGAUGAAAGCGGGGGACCGUAAGGCCUCGCGCGAUUGGAGCGGCCGAUGUCAGAUUGGGUAGUUGGUGGGGUAAAGGCCUACCAAGCCGACGAUCUGUACCUGGUCUGAGAGGACGACCAGCCACACUGCGACUGAGACAUGGCCCGGACGCCUACGGGAGGCAGCAGUGGGGAAUUUUGUACAAUGGGCGCAAGCAUGUUCCAGCAAUGCCGCGUGCAGGAAGAAGGCCUUCGGGUUGUAAACUGCUUUUGUACGGAACGAAACGGCCUGGGUUAAUACCCUGGGCUAAUUACGGUACCGUAAGAAUAAGCACCGGCUAACUACGUGCCAGCAGCCGCCGUAAAAC